rnacentral:rRNA from 1 species
GAAUAUUGGACAAUGGGCGAAAGCCUGAUCCAGCCAUGCCGCGUGUGUGAAGAAGGUCUUCGGAUUGUAAAGCCCUUUAAGUUGGGAGGCAGGGCAGUCAUCGACUACCUUGCUGUUUUGACGUUACCGAGAGAAUAAGCACCGGCUAACUCUGUGCCAGCAGCCGCGGUAAUACAUAGGGUGCAAGCGGUAAUCGGAAUUACUGGGCGUAGAACGCGCGUAGGUGGUUAGUUAAGUUGUAGGUGAAAUCCCCGGGCGCAACCUGGGAACUGCAUCCAAAACUGGCGAGCUAGAGUAGGGCAGAGGGUGGUGGAAUUUCCUGUGUAGCGGUGAAAUGCGUAGAAAUAGGAAGGAACACCAGUGGCGAAGGCGACCACCUGGGCUCAUACUGACACUGAGGUGCGAAAGCGUGGGGAGCAAACAG